GACGAACGCUGGCGGCGGGCUUAACACAUGCAAGUCGAACGGAAAGGCCCUGCUUGUGUGGGGUGCUCGAGUGGCGAACGGGUGAGUAACACGUGAGUAACCUGCCCUUGACUUUGGGAUAACUUCAGGAAACUGGGGCUAAUACCGGAUAGGAGAUCCUGCUGCAGGGUGGGGGGUGGAAAGUUUCGGCGGUUGGGGAUGGACGGGCGGCUUAUCAGCUUGUUGGUGGGGUAGUGGCUGACCAAGGCUUGGACGGGUAGCCGGCCGGGGAGGGUGACCGGCCACCUUGGGACUGAGAGACGGACCAGACUCCUACGGGAGGCAGCAGUGGGGAGUCUUGUCCAGUCGGCGGGCGCCUGAUGCAGCAACGCCGCGUGCGGGAUGACGGUCUUCGGGGUGUAAACCGCAUUCGCCUGUGACGAAGCGUGAGUGACGGUAAUGGGUAAAGAAGCACCGGCUAACUACGUG
rnacentral:rRNA from 1 species